UUUCUUCGGAAUGAAUUUGAUUUAGUUUAGUGGCGGACGGGUGAGUAACGCGUGAGUAACCUGCCUUCAAGAGGGGGAUAACAUUCUGAAAAGAAUGCUAAUACCGCAUGACAUAUCGGAACCACAUGGUUUUGAUAUCAAAGAUUUUAUCGCUUGAAGAUGGACUCGCGUCCGAUUAGUUAGUUGGUGAGGUAACGGCUCACCAAGACCGCGAUCGGUAGCCGGACUGAGAGGUUGAACGGCCACAUUGGGACUGAGACACGGCCCAGACUCCUACGGGAGGCAGCAGUGGGGGAUAUUGCGCAAUGGGGGCAACCCUGACGCAGCAACGCCGCGUGAAGGAUGAAGGUUUUCGGAUUGUAAACUUCUUUUAUUAAGGACGAAAAAUGACGGUACUUAAUGAAUAAGCUCCGGCUAACUACGUGCCAGCAGCCGCGGUAAUACGUAGGGAGCAAGCGUUGUCCGGAUUUACUGGGUGUAAAGGGUGCGUAGGCGGCUUUGCAAGUCAGAUGUGAAAUCUAUGGGCUCAACCCAUAAACUGCAUUUGAAACUGUAGAGCUUGAGUGAAGUAGAGGCAGGCGGAAUUCCCCGUGUAGCGGUGAAAUGCGUAGA
rnacentral:rRNA from 1 species